UAACCCCCGUCCAGUACCCACCUGCUCCUAAUUUUCCUCUCCGUCUCCACAAUGAUCUUCACUCCACUCUGGUUCUCCGAUGAAACGCAGAUCGAGUCUCCCAGCAUGCUUAUCCCAGAGUAAGGUACUGAAAUGCAGGGUUGAGAAAGGAUCAGUAACCCCUCACCCAAAUCUUUCUCGCAGGAAAUAUUGGAUUUGAUUUCCAAGUACCUGGUGGUGCCACCGGGGGCCACGGUUUGGGGCAACGACGAGGACAUAUGGAACGCCGACCUAUCCAAGUUUGAGAUCCGGGCCAGGUUCGCGUCUGGUACGCCGUCCUCAACGUCGCCCUCAAGAUGGUGAGCUAGCUAGAUCUGGAUGACGCCAUCGCCGCCCAGUUUAGACAGAGCCUUCGAGGUCUCCCUCACCCUCCGCCACCGCAUCAUCAUCACCGUACUUACUGCAAUCUUUCUCAGCCGCAAGUCCUGCCCUCCAUCGAUCUGAUCCACCAGCAUCGGUGACGGCGCAUCCAUGUUUCUCUGCUGGAUGCUUGAGUUCUUAGUCAUUUUAAUAAUUCAACAUCUUCGCUGUAGAAUAGGGCAGGCCCAAGCACCCGCUUCUCCUUUCUAGACGUUCAAUUUUAGGCAUGUCUCGUACUGUAUCUAGUUCUCCAUGUGCAGGUUAUUGCUACUUAGCUGACUGAUGUAGAUAUAUGGAACCGUGCUAUCUGUGUUAAUUCAUAGGAAGAAUAUUUGCUUCCCCCUUUUCUGACAAACUAUUUUUGUGAUGCAUUAUAUUUCUUUGAUUUUCUUGCUGCUAUAUAUGUAGAUGAAUACUUAAUUACUAAUAUUUUCAAUUGAAGUUGAUUAUCACAGACUCAUUCAAUUAGCUGCCAUAUUAUCUCAAAUUUAUCCUAGUUUGACACUAUUAACGAUUAAUGACAUUUUGAUUACUUUGAGGAGAAAAUAGAUCCCUUAUCCGUGUUAUGAAUCUUAUUAAUUUGUUUGACACACUUUGCACUAAAGAAAUGAGUCAGACAAGCUGCACAUCUUAACUUGUUCCUGUAGGUUCUGUAUGUUUCUUGUGCCGCCCCACUUCUUAUCUAUUUUGGUGUCCGCAUCGUCAGUUACACCAAUAUUAUCCAUCUGGUUGCCGUUCCAGGCUUCCACUAUGCUCACUUUUGGGUUUAAAAUUUGGUUUAGUUGUCAACGUGCAGGGCAGGAAUGAUGGCUCCUUGAUGGGUUGUACAUGCGAGGUUAGGUGCGUCUCCUUUAUGGACAGCAGCGCAGCGACUCGGCCGCACUAAUGCGGUGAAUAUAAUGCAAGAUGCAGUACUGACAAGUCAGAUGGAUCAAAUUGCCAAGAAAUCAUGGUGCCUGGGUUGGAUGUUGAUUGCAACGUUGAGAAUGUGGCCACUAUUUCAUAAUUAGAAUGUCAUAUCCGGGGUCAAUGUUUCAACCAUUGUAGUUGAUUGCAGGGUGGACAAUUGGGCUACUACUAGAUUGUUUCACAUCUUGUAAUCUUUGGAAUGUGUUCUUUGUAAUGCAACACAAUCGAUAUAAUACAUGAUACUUUCUGUUUA